rnacentral:rRNA from 1 species
AUGAACGCUAGCUACAGGCUUAACACAUGCAAGUCGAGGGGCAGCAUGGUCUUAGCUUGCUAAGGCCGAUGGCGACCGGCGCACGGGUGAGUAACGCGUAUCCAACCUGCCUUACACUCUUGGACAGCCUUCUGAAAGGGAGAUUAAUACAAGAUGUUAUCAUGAGUAAGCAUUUUCGCAUGAUUAAAGGUUUACCGGUGUAAGAUGGGGAUGCGUUCCAUUAGAUAGUAGGCGGGGUAACGGCCCACCUAGUCUUCGAUGGAUAGGGGUUCUGAGAGGAAGGUCCCCCACAUUGGAACUGAGACACGGUCCAAACUCCUACGGGAGGCAGCAGUGAGGAAUAUUGGUCAAUGGACGAGAGUCUGAACCAGCCAAGUAGCGUGAAGGAUGAAGGUUCUAUGGAUUGUAAACUUCUUUUAUACGGGAAUAAACGGAUCCACGUGUGGAUUUUUGCAUGUACCGUAUGAAUAAGGAUCGGCUAACUCCGUGCCAGCAGCCGCGGUAAUACGGAGGAUCCGAGCGUUAUCCGGAUUUAUUGGGUUUAAAGGGAGCGUAGAUGGGUUGUUAAGUCAGUUGUGAAAGUUUGCGGCUCAACCGUAAAAUUGCAAUUGAUACUGGCAGUCUUGAGUACAGUUGAGGUAGGCGGAAUUCGUGGUGUAGCGGUGAAAUGCUUAGAUGUCACGAAGAACUCCGAUUGCGAAGGCAGCUUACUAACCUGUAACUGACAUUGAUGCUCGAAAGUGUGGGUAUCAAACAGGAUUAGAUACCCUGGUAGUCCACACGGUAAACGAUGAAUACUCGCUGUAGGCGAUAUACAGUCUGCGGCCAAGCGAAAGCAUUAAGUAUUCCACCUGGGGAGUACGCCGGCAACGGUGAAACUCAAAGGAAUUGACGGGGGCCCGCACAAGCGGAGGAACAUGUGGUUUAAUUCGAUGAUACGCGAGGAACCUUACCCGGGCUUAAAUUGCAACCGAAUAUGGCGGAAACGCUAUAGCUAGCAAUAGCGGUUGUGAAGGUGCUGCAUGGUUGUCGUCAGCUCGUGCCGUGAGGUGUCGGCUUAAGUGCCAUAACGAGCGCAACCCUUGCCGAUAGUUACUAACAGGUUAUGCUGAGGACUCUGUCGGGACUGCCAUCGUAAGAUGUGAGGAAGGUGGGGAUGACGUCAAAUCAGCACGGCCCUUACGUCCGGGGCUACACACGUGUUACAAUGGGGGGUACAGAGGGCUGCUACCACGCAAGUGGAUGCCAAUCCCAAAAACCUCUCUCAGUUCGGAUUGAAGUCUGCAACCCGACUUCAUGAAGCUGGAUUCGCUAGUAAUCGCGCAUCAGCCACGGCGCGGUGAAUACGUUCCCGGGCCUUGUACACACCGCCCGUCAAGCCAUGGGAGCCGGGGGUACCUGAAGUGCGUAACCGCAAGGAGCGCCCUAGGGUAAAACUGGUGACUGGGGCU